rnacentral:tRNA from 1 species
GGCGCUAUCGUCUAGCCUGGUCUAGGACGCGAGCUUCUCAAGCUCUAAACACGGGUUCAAAUCCCGUUAGCGCUACCA